UAAGUACUCCCUUCGUCCGAAAAUACUUCUCAUCAAAAUGGAUAAAUGAAGAUGUAUCUCAAACUAAAUUAAGUCUAGAUACAUCCCCUUUAUUCAUUUUGAUGACAAGAAUUUCCGGACGGAGGAAAUAUUUU
rfam:Triticum aestivum genome assembly, contig: Triticum_aestivum_CS42_TGACv1_scaffold_526364_6DL